rnacentral:tRNA from 1 species
GGGGGUGUGGCUCAGUGGGAGAGCACUUGCCUAGCAUGUAUGAGGCACUGGGUUCGAUCCUCAGCACCACAU